GUGGGGAAUCUUCCGCAAUGGGCGAAAGCCUGACGGAGCAACGCCGCGUGAGUGAAGAAGGUCUUCGGAUCGUAAAGCUCUGUUGUCGGGGACGAAUGUGCUUUUUGUGAAUAAUGAGAAGCAAUGACGGUACCUGACGAGGAAGCCACGGCUAACUACGUGCCAGCAGCCGCGGUAAUACGUAGGUGGCGAGCGUUGUCCGGAAUUAUUGGGCGUAAAGGGAGCGCAGGCGGGAAGGCAAGUCAGUCUUAAAAGUGCGGGGCUCAACCCCGUGAUGGGAUUGAAACUGUCUUUCUUGAGUGCAGGAGAGGAAAGCGGAAUUCCUAGUGUAGCGGUGAAAUGCGUAGAUAUUAGGAGGAACACCAGUGGCGAAGGCGGCUUUCUGGACUGUAACUGACGCUGAGGCUCGAAAGCGUGGGGAGCGAACAGG
rnacentral:rRNA from 1 species